GAGAGCCGGAUGCACAACGAAAGGUGCAAGUCCGGUUCGGAGAGCAGGCGUGGGAGACGGGCGGUGGAGACACCGCACCGCGCCCACGUCUGACUCUAC
rnacentral:ncRNA from 2 species